GACGAACGCUGGCGGCGUGCUUAACACAUGCAAGUCGAACGGAAAGGCCCCUUUGGGGGUACUCGAGUGGCGCACGGGUGAGUAACACGUGCGUAACCUGCCCUUGACUUCGGGAUAACUUCAGGAAACUGGGGCUAAUACCGGAUAGGAAUCCUUGCUGCAUGGUGGGGGUUGGAAAGCUUCGGCGGUUUUGGAUGGACUCGCGGCUUAUCAGCUUGUUGGUGGGGUAGUGGCUUACCAAGGCUUUGACGGGUAGCCGGCCUGAGAGGGCGACCGGCCACAGUGGGACUGAGAGACGGCCCAGACUCCUACGGGAGGCAGCAGUGGGGAAUAUUGCACAAUGGGCGGAAGCCUGAUGCAGCAACGCCGCGGGCGGGAUGACGGCCUUCGGGUUGUAAACCGCUUUCAGCAGGGGCGAAGCUUGUGGUGACGGUACCUGCAGAAGAAGCACCGGCUAACUACGUG
rnacentral:rRNA from 1 species